UACGGAGGGUGCAAGCGUUAUCCGGAUUCACUGGGCUUAAAGGGUGCGUAGGCGGGUUGGUGAGUCAGUGGUGAAAUCUCCGAGCUUAACUUGGAGACUGCCAUUGAUACUAUCAGUCUUGAAUACCGUGGAGGUCAGCGGAAUAUGUCAUGUAGCGGUGAAAUGCUUAGAUAUGACAUAGAACACCAAUGGCGAAGGCAGCUGACUACGCGAAGAUUGACACUGAUGCACGAAAGCGUGGGGAUCAAACAGG
rnacentral:rRNA from 1 species